UUUAGGCCAGGGGACCUCG
rnacentral:rRNA from 1 species